GCCAUGCAUGUGUAAGUAUAAAUAAUUCUACUUUGAAACUGCGAAUGGCUCAUUAUAUCAGUUAUAGUUUAUUAGAAAUAAUUUACUACUUGGAUAACCGUAGUAAUUCUAGGGCUAAUACAUGAGUAAAUCCUCGACUUUGAAGAGGUGUGUUUAUUAGUAUGAAAACCAUAUGCUUUUGCAUAAUAGUGAGUAAUAAUAACCUUUCAUAUCGUAUGUUGUAAUAACGAUAGUUCUUUCAAGUUUCUGCCCUAUCAGCUUUCGAUGGUAGUGCAUUGGACUACCAUGGCAGUAACGGGUAACGAAGAAUUUGGGUUCGAUUUCGGAGAGGGAGCCUGAGAGAUGGCUACCACAUCCAAGGAAGGCAGCAGGCGCGUAAAUUACCCAAUCCUGACAUAGGGAGGUAGUGACAAUAAAUCACAAUGCGGGACUUUUAGUUUUGCAAUUGGAUUGAGAACAAUGUAAAAGAGUUAUCGAUAAACAAUUGGAGGGCAAGUCUGGUGCCAGCAGCCGCGGUAAUUCCAGCUCCAAUAGCGUAUAUUAACGUUGUUGCAGUUAAAAA
rnacentral:rRNA from 1 species